rnacentral:rRNA from 1 species
GAUGAACGCUGGCGGCGUGCCUAAUACAUGCAAGUAGAACGCUGAAGGAGGAGCUUGCUCUUCUGGAUGAGUUGCGAACGGGUGAGUAACGCGUAGGUAACCUGCCUGGUAGCGGGGGAUAACUAUUGGAAACGAUAGCUAAUACCGCAUGACAACAGUUAUUGCAUGAUAACUGUUUAAAAGAGGCAACUGCUCCACUACCAGAUGGACCUGCGUUGUAUUAGCUAGUUGGUGAGGUAACGGCUCACCACGGCGACGAUACAUAGCCGACCUGGGAGGGGGAACGGGCACACUGGGACUGAGAAACGGGCCCGACUCCUACGGGAGGCAGCAGUAGGGAAUCUUCGGCAAUGGACGGAAGUCUGACCGAGCAACGCCGCGUGAGUGAAGAAGGUUUUCGGAUCGUAAAGCUCUGUUGUAAGAGAAGAACGAGUGUGAGAGUGGAAAGUUCACACUGUGACGGUAUCUUACCAGAAAGGGACGGCUAACUACGUG